rnacentral:rRNA from 1 species
UACGUAGGGUGCAAGCGUUGUCCGGAAUUAUUGGGCGUAAAGAGCUCGUAGGCGGUUUUGUCGCGUCGAAAUGUGAAAAACCCCGGGGGCUCAACCCCCGGGCCUGCAUUCGAUACGGACAGACUAGAGUUCGGUAGGGGAGUCUGGAAUUCCUGGUGUAGCGGUGAAAUGCGCAGAUAUCAGGAGGAACACCGGUGGCGAAGGCGGGACUCUGGGCCGAUACUGACGCUGAGGAGCGAAAGCGUGGGGAGCAAACAGG